GUCCUGAUUCUGCUAAAGACAAGAAAACACAUUCCUUGGCUUCCCUUCUCUCCAAGUUUUAUGCACAUCACAAAUGCUGUCCAUACAGUGUGACCUCUGCUCUUGGCUCUGGGACCCUCAGAGUUUGAUCACCAUUGUCCUAACCAAACUGACAACCCUUUGGACUUCAGAUGUGGGAAGGCACCUGACCUGUUUUUAUUUCGGUUGGAAGAAAUACUCGCUGCACCAUGCCCUUUAAUCAUGAUAGUCUACAAGCAAACAAGAAAGCCUGGAAUGUUGCCUUCAUCACCAUUUGCUUGCUUUCUGUCCAAAUGCUGGGGCUGUAAACUCUGUUCCCUGAAACUAGAGACAUCCUGAAAAUCGCAGUAAUGACCUCAGAACAAGCCUCCCCCAUCAGGGGAUCAUUCAGCAGGUAUGCCCCACAUAAAGUGGCCUGAGGUUUGUGUCAGUCUUUCAAGCCCAAGUCCAAUAGGUACUUUACCUAAAAAAUGACAAGCAGCACCUGCUACAUCACCUUAGAAAGCACACCAAUGUCUCCUGUGUGGACAGGAGUGGAAACAGCUACCCCACCGAGUGUGGCAACUUACCUUACACUGAAGGUGGGGGAACUGGCCCUGCCUCCUCGUGACCAUUCACUGGCCUCUGUCUUUAGCAUCGUCCUUGGGAUAGCCUUCUGGAGAAAAAUGAUGAAGAAGCUGAGGAUUAAGCAGGAGAAGGGAGGAGUUCCUGUGUGGCUCUGUAGGUUAAGAACCCGACGUUGUCUUUGUGAAGAUGUGGACUUGAUCCCUGCCCUCGCUCAGUGGGUUAAGGAUCUGCCAUUGCUGCAAGCUGAGGCAUAGGUCACAGAUGUGGCUCGGAU